GACGAACGCUGGCGGCGUGCUUAACACAUGCAAGUCGAACGGAAAGGCCCUGCUUGCAGGGUACUCGAGUGGCGAACGGGUGAGUAACACGUGGGUGAUCUGCCCUGCACUUCGGGAUAAGCCUGGGAAACUGGGUCUAAUACCGGAUAGGAGCCAUUUUUAGUGUGAUGGUUGGAAAGUUUUUUCGGUGUAGGAUGAGCUCGCGGCCUAUCAGCUUGUUGGUGGGGUAAUGGCCUACCAAGGCGGCGACGGGUAGCCGGCCUGAGAGGGUGGACGGCCACAUUGGGGCUGAGAUACGGCCCAGACUCCUACGGGAGGCAGCAGGGGGGAAUAUUGCACAAUGGGCGCAAGCCUGAUGCAGCGACGCCGCGUGGGGGAUGACGGCCUUCGGGUUGGAAACGCAUUUCGCUAGGGACGAAGCUUUUUGUGACGGUACCUAGAUAAGAAGCACCGGCUAACUACGUG
rnacentral:rRNA from 1 species